GAAAUAUUUUAGAAUCUCGUGAUCUUUAAUAAUAACAAAUAAUAAAUAUAAAAAACUCCUAAUAAUACUUUAUGAGCUUUUUUUACUUUUUUAAAAUUGUAGUAAUAAAAACAAAAGAUUUUUCUAAUAAAAACAAUAAUUUAAAGAAAUUGUUUCCUUUUUGUUUUUGAUACAAUAAUCGAUACUACUGAUAAAACCAAUUAAUUAACUAUUAUUAUAAUAAUAAUGGAAUACUAAUGAUAAAGAUAUCAAAAAAAUAAAAA
rnacentral:lncRNA from 1 species